UAGUCUCCGCUUGACACGUGGAACU
rnacentral:piRNA from 1 species